UACGUAGGGUGCGAGCGUUGUCCGGAAUUAUUGGGCGUAAAGGGCUCGUAGGCGGUCUGUUGCGUCAGGAGUGAAAACUCGGGGCUUAACCCCGAGCCUGCUUCUGAUACGGGCAGACUAGAGGUAUGCAGGGGAGAACGGAAUUCCUGGUGUAGCGGUGAAAUGCGUAGAUAUCAGGAGGAACACCAGCGGCGAAGGCGGUGCUCUGGGCCGGAACUGACGCUGAGGAGCGAAAGCGUGGGGAGCGAACAGG
rnacentral:rRNA from 1 species